GUCUCAUACUGUUCCAGAGCCCUGAAACACAGCAUGCAGGCCGCAUAGCAGCCGGUGCUGAGACUCCAUGCUGUGGCCCGCGGGUCAUUCACAGAAAUAACAGGGAUGACCGCCGAUGAGUGAAACCAUUGCUGGUCUCCCAUAGCAUAGUUGGUGGCCAUUGAUGGCGAACGCACCAAUGGACAUUCAUAGAGGAGGCAGCCAGAAAAAUCUACCAGGCAUAGAAUCAUGGAAGACUGAUGACAGACAUAGACCAGUGAGCCAGGCACUGCUCACAAAAAAGGGAUUGAAAACAUACAUAAGUAUAAAAUAAUAUAAAAGAACACUGUGCAGGGCUGUAGAGACUAAUGCAUUGGCCUUCACACAAAGAUGAAGGCAAAGGAAGAAGGAGAACGGGAAGACGGAACAUAAAACCUAGUUACCUCAAAACAGCUUUAGAACUUAGGUGAGGGACUGGUAUCACCAGCACCAGCUAAUGAAUAAUUUCCCAGCUAUCCACUCAGAAUUUAACCACAGGACAGCUCUACAUAUGCCCCCAGGAAAACCACACGAGACAGUCAGAAGUAUCACGGCUACUGACUCGGAAAAGGAGUAGUACUCUACAUGUUUGAUGCUUUGCAUGUGUGAAGGUUGGUAAGAGGGUGACCAUUAAACUUUAUCAGUGGCCAGCAGAGUAGAGUGUGAUCGGGAGGGGGAUCUUCGAGCAUAGUGCCAUCUGUUCUGUUUUAUAAUUCAUCAUU